rnacentral:rRNA from 1 species
UACGUAGGGCGCAAGCGUUGUCCGGAAUUAUUGGGCGUAAAGAGCUCGUAGGCGGUUUGUCGCGUCUGCUGUGAAAACCCGAGGCUCAACCUCGGGCCUGCAGUCGAUACGGGCAGACUAGAGUUCGGUAGGGGAGACUGGAAUUCCUGGUGUAGCGGUGAAAUGCGCAGAUAUCAGGAGGAACACCGGUGGCGAAGGCGGGAUCCUGGGCCAGUACUGACGCUGAGGAGCGAAAGCGUGGGGAGCAAACAGG